GCCCAUUUGCUUCUAUCGUCAAUAUCAUCCACACUCCUUUCUUUCUCUUCACUGGUCUCGCCCUUUUCAUUUCCCACCCACACCAAACUGAGAGAGGGGGAAAUGCUCUCAGCUGUUCCGUGCUAUAAGACGUCGUUCCCACGAUGUUUUAGUUCCUUCCUUUUUCUUUCAAUAGAAAAACAAGAAAUACAUUCUACUUCGACAAAGGAAACAAAAAAAUUAAAUAGAGAGGAACUGUGAAGACGAGUUCGAGUCAAAAAUCUCCCAUGAUCGUGACUUUUUAGAUUAAAAAGCUUGGCUUUUUGAAGAAAUCUUCAUAGAAACGCCCGACGGCAUCACGGUGAAUAACCGCAUCAAAGAACUUGGAAAGUCACCUUUAUCGUUUAUCAUCACAUCCAUUGGAUAGGAGUAGUCCCGUAUUACGGUGGGAGGAGACUAAAGUGGAUUCCCCGGUGGCAUUUGUUCUGCCUUUUCGAAUUCCCGUUGAACUACCGGAUACGUCACUCAUUAUGUACCUGUAUCAUCAACCAGAAGAAGAAAGGGAAACCUACUACAGAUAUCACCACCAUGCAACGAACAAGGUACGUAUAAGCCAAAUCGUUGUAUUUUCCUAUCUCGUGCCAACAACGUCAUUGCGUGUGAUGAAUCACCAAAUGAGUUGAUUAUUUACAGUGUAUACCCCCACAUUUGCUAUUUUUGUUGUUGUUAUUGUGGAAAGGUUUGAUAGUAUAUGUCUCCACACUUUACAUAGUCAUUUGGUAUUCAUGACGAAUGCGCCAUGCGCUGUUGAGUCAGGCUAAUACCGGCAGGACUGGCCGAUGGAUGGGCGCCAGCAGCACUUUCUGUGUAGUACAUUAUUUCCACUGGGUGUGACUCUUUUUCCUCAAUGGACAAUGGUUAUUGUUGUGAGUCAUAAAGCACUAAAACAGCUGUUGGAUGGAAUAUUUGAAAAUCAUUAUUUCUCUAUUUGUUCCGGCGACAGCCAGCACAACCACAAAUGAAGUUUUCAACUGUUUCAGAAAUCCCAUUGCUAGUAAAGAAUUCAUUUCUGCAAAUUGAAUCAAAUGUGAAGCUCUCAUUAGUUACAGCUGGUAAUCAAUUACAAUCGCUUAUAGAAGGAG